CGGAUGAUGUCAGCGCAUGGUCGACCAGAAAACCGAUUGGGAUCUGCGUGUUCUGCCUUUCAAGACAAUCCUUGAAGGGUCGGCCUCCUGAGCCUGCCAUUGGUGUUCCAUGAAAGAGACACCUGCUCUUCACGUCCAACAACAACGUAAGUGUGUUGACACCGAUCAUCCAAGUCAAGGAGGAUGAAUUUUGUGUUUUCGUUGAUGGCCUGGAAGCCGUGACCGGCAUCAC